ensembl:lncRNA
AUCGGCACCAGAUCGGCUGCCCACUGUCGGCUGAGGAGGAGGAGGAGGCGGACUCAAACGGGAAAUAGCUGCGUCACUUCAAGGAAUUGUGAAGCAAGACGGGCAAGACGGGCAAGACCGGCCGGCACCUGUAGAAUAACAACGGCCUUAUCUGUGUCUGACUCUUACUUAUCAUGUCUGCUGCUGUUCCCAGGAAGACAGAGCUGAGACAUUACGCACGAUUCCACCUUUUGUUCACCCACCUGAAUACAAAGAAACAAACAAUCAAUCCAAUAAUAGGCUAAUUAAAGUAGUACAUGUGUGACCUAUAGUGACAUUUGACCUCAUCAGUUCAUCCUGUGCCAAAUUCUGAAGGAUCUCCCUCCAGGCAUUCCUGAGAUAUCACCGUCUGCAACACGUUUCCAGACAGGACAGUGAACACAAUCCCACCAAAGCUGCGUUCAAUGUCCACAUUUUUAGUUUAUACACAUGCCCUCAAAAUGUUUAAUGAUACAUUUAUUCUGUCUGACAUACAACAAAAUGACUGUGGAUCUGCCUUGAACAUUAACAUGUGCUCUCUCUUUGCCAUUUGGUCAUGUGACCUGUGGUUGUGACAUACUUUUUUGUUUCUGAUGAUCCUGAGAUAUCACAUCCAUGAAAAAAUAAUGACCUCACAUAACCUCUGGCUGUCAUUGAUGAAUGUAUAUAUAGUGGUUUAAUUGAGUAAAAUCAGUAGUACCCAUUCAUAUAACACAUGGCAUUCAAACCAUUUCAUUGCUUCCAGAUUAUUAAUUUGUGAUUGAUUUAGCUUUCUGUAUCAGAGGGGCAGGAGAGCAAAGCCUCACGUGACCUUGCUGCCCUAAAACAGCUCACUCAGCAGAGCAAGACAAGUGCUUCCUCAGAAAAACCACAUCCUUUUUAGAUCUGAAACUUUCCAUACGUGCACGUGUUACGUUUUCCCACAUGAAUAUUUCAAGCCAGCUGUGAGGCUCAUCUCUGACUCUGCAUCUGAUGCUGCCAAUCUGCUAUUUUACUUUUGUACUCUGCAGCCUGGCUUGGCUCUCUUCUUCCUUGGAGUGCAAUAGGACGCAGUAUCCCUGGCCAGUAGUGUCGCCCAAGUUUUGCUGUAACAUGUGUCCACCAGGUCAUCGCAUGAUCCGGCGAACAAAUGACGUGUGUGGCAUUACAUGUGAAGCCUGCCAGGACAACCAGUACAUAGAGGCUCACAAUGUGGAGAUGAACUGCAAGUUUUGUGAAGUUUGUAACAAAGAAAAUAUGGUGUACAAGUCAAAUUGCAGUGCCACUCAUAACGCUGUGUGCGCAUGCAAAGCUGGGUACAGAUGCGAGAACCAAGACUGCACUGCAUGUGAGCUGAUCCCAACCACCACCAAGAAACCCACCCUCCCUCCGCCAACUAAAGCCUUGAAACCUACAACGCCGAGUGCACCCCCUAAACCAAUGGGAGAUAAGGUGUGGUUCCUGGUGAUAAUUGCCCUCCUUUGUGCUGGGAUCGCACUGGCUGUGGUAACAAAAAUCAAGCCGUUUCUACGCUGGACCAGAUCCAUUUAUGGCUACUUUCUGCCAGACAAACAGGAGCAUACAGAUGAUGCUGACAUAGAGGAUAAUGACAUGCCAAAGCCUGUUCAGGAAGUCUGUGGGAAAUGCGACCAACCUAUUGAAGUAUGAUAUAAAAGACUAGGACCCGAACCUGAUGAGGAAUUACAGGACACAGAGUGUCACAAAGUUGUGGACAACUUUCGUCAAACGGAGCAGCACAGCCCUCUGACAAAUGGAACCACAGAAGAUGGUUCAAGGCCAGCUGUGCUUCCUGAGAGGACAGAAGAACCUGUGACAUCUGUAACUGUUUAGAAACACUGAAAGCCUGAACAUAAAGGUUUGGACAGUGACUAAGCAUGACUAGGAAAUUUUGUAACAUAUUUGGAAGGUACUUUGGCACACGAUAUUCAGAUGCUUACCUUUGUAUGUAUGUAUAUAUAAAAAUGCUUUUAGAUACAUUUUUUUCAUUUCUUUAUUAAAAAUAAACAUUCUGUUUAUAC